rnacentral:tRNA from 1 species
ACUCUCUUAGUACUAAUCAGUACAAUUGACUUCCAAUUAAUUAGUCCUAGUAAAACCUAGGAGAGAGUA